UUCUCGAUGUUGUGCGUCAGCUUGCAUUAGUUCCAGCCAGCCCAGCCCAGCUGUUAGGGAUGAUGGGAGUCAUAGGCUAGCAGCAUCUGAAAUGCAUGAGGUUCUUCACCUCUGCCCUAAACCAUACGCUCCAACUCCCGGUAAGAAAAAUCCGGGAUCAGCAGCGGCGCGGCACUGGAAGUCGCUUCUACGCAUGUCCAGACAUACGUAGAAGCGACACUUCCGGUGCCUCUCUGCCCAAUUUCCUGUGCCCAGACAUGGGCAGAGCGGCACCCAAAAACGGUUCUGCGCAGAAGGAGCCUCCCUGGCAGUGCCAGAUCAGAUUUGGAGGGAGGAAGGAGAUUGCUUCCGAUUCGGACAGCAGAGUUACAUGUCUCUGUGCUCAGUUCGAAUCUGUGCUUCAGCAUGGCUUGAAGAGGACCAGGGGAUUAGCCUUAACAGCAGCAGCUAUCAAGCAGGCAGCAGGCUUCUCCACUAAAGCUGAAAUGGAGCCGGUGUUCUGGUACUAUGUGAAAGAAGUUCUAAAUAAACAUGAGCUGCAGCGUUUCUACUCCCUGAGGAAUAUUACCACAGACGUUGGCAGAGGUCGGGCUUGGCUGCGGUGUGCCCUGAAUGAACAUUCCUUAGAAAGAUACUUUCACAUGCUGCUUGCAGAUAAAAGCAGGCUGAGUGUCUUCUACGAAGACUGGUCCUUCAUGAUGGAUGAAGAGCGCUCUAGUAUGAUUCCCACCAUGGCAGCUGGGCUGCAUUCUAUUCUUUUUGCAAUCAACAUUGAUAACAAGGAUUUGAAUGGGCAAAGCAAGGGCCCUCCCACAGUCUCUGACCUUCUCAAAGAAUCCACACAGAAUGUGACCUCGUUGUUGAAGGAAUCGACUCAAGGAGUUAGCAGCCUCCUCAGAGAAAUCACGGCGUCCUCUCCUGUUUCGAUCUUAAUCAAAUCGGAUCAAGAUGCCGACCCCUUGCCCAUUUUAUCGAAGAGUCUUAGCGGUGAUUUAAAAUGCAGAAAAGAUCGGAUGAAGAAAAAGAAGAAAGUCACAAAUAUCAUUUCGUUUGAUGAUGAGGAAGAUGAACAAAACCCGGGGGAUGUCUUAAAGGGAAUUGUUGCAGGGGAAAGCUCCGAAGAAAACUUGGACAGGUUUUCACCCUACGUAGCUUCUCCCCCCGGCCCCGGAGAGAUGCUAACCAAACUGAGUGGGGACCAAAGCGUGCCUUUGUUUAAAAACGAUUCUGUAUAUCUCAAUGGGGACUGCGGCUUCCAAAAGUUGGAUGUGAAAAGUAUAGAUGAUGAAGAUGUGGAUGAAAAUGAUGAUGCGUACGGCAAAAUUUUGGGAAACCGCUGCAUGGCAGAAGACGCAGAGUCUUGUGGAAAACCGUCUGAGGGUGUCACGAGCAACUCGCUGGUUUGCGCCUGGCCUCCUCUGCAAGUCCUGAAUGAUGAUUCUGAUGAGCUGUUCCCUGUCAGUGCUGUGGGCUCUUUCUCCCAGACCGGUAACCUGGAGAAUGGUGAUGAGCACGAAACAGCUGAUUUUUCAGUAGAAAUGGCUCGGCGAAAUGCCAACUCACAUUACAGCAGGGAAGAAGUGAGCCCCCCAGUCCAAGAGAACUCUCUGCAUGAUCUGCUGCCCUCGGCCACUGUGCCAGAACCGAUGACCGUUGCUGAACUUCGGCAAGCCAUUGUGGCCAUGAUGAACAGAAAGCAUGAACUGGAAGAGCAGAGCAGUUCCUUGCGGAACCUCCUCGACGGAGAGAUGGAGCAUUCUGCGGGGCUUCGCCAAGAAGUCGACAACCUGAAGAAGAAAGUUUCUGAGCAGGAAGAGCGCUACACCGUGAAGAUCCAGGCCUUAGCAAGAGAAAACGAGGUGCUAAAAGUACAGCUGAAGAAGUAUGUAGGAGCUGUCCAGAUGCUGAAAAGAGAAGGUCAGACCAUGGAAGUAUUGCCAAACCUUUGGAACACAGAUAGUGAGUUUGCCAUUCCUGAGCAAAAACAAGUUGAAAACCAUGAAGAACUGGCAAAUGCUUAUGAAAGAAAGCUAAUUGAGGUGGCGGAGAUGCACGGGGAACUAAUAGAAUUCAACGAGAGGCUGCACCGUGCUUUGAUGGCUAAAGAAGCUCUUGUGACCCAGAUGAGACAGGAACUCAUUGAUUUGAGAGGACCGGUUCCCGGAGAUCUGAGCCAAACAUCUGAGGACCAGAGCUUGUCCGAUUUUGAAAUAUCUAAUCGAGCUCUUAUAAAUGUCUGGAUCCCCUCGGUCUUUCUGCGUGGGAAAGCAGCCAACGCGUUUCAUGUCUACCAGGUAUAUAUAAGGAUAAAAGACGAUGAGUGGAAUGUCUAUCGAAGAUACACAGAGUUCAGAGUCCUUCAUCACAAGUUGCAGACAAAAUACCACCAAGUGAGAAGUUUUAACUUUCCACCGAAAAAGGCCAUUGGCAACAAGGAUGCAAAGUUUGUAGAAGAAAGGCGGAAACAGUUGCAGAAUUACUUAAGGAAUGUAAUGAACAAAGUAAUCCAGACUCUGCCAGAAUUCGCUUCCAACCCUAAAAAAGAGACUCUUAUCCAACUGAUGCCCUUUUUUAUGAAAGUACUUUGCACAUCUACCAUCUCUAUUUCUGCUUCCCCAAUGUGCCGCUCGAAGAAUCACAGGGUGUUUUCUGAUAGACAUGUACAACAGUAACAGAUCGGCAGAGAGCUCUGUGAAAACGUCUCUUCCUUGAUGCUACGAAGCGGCCUCAGAUCAAUAUUUCACCGCCUGCGUGGAAAGUGCAUGAUUAAACAGGCCUCUUGAAAUGUUUGCAUCUGGAUCCCACUCAAAUGGCAGGCGUUCCUCAAACGGCAGAUAAACAAAACGUUCAAGCCAGACAUCACUGAAGAUGACAAAAAUAAAGAGUUUUAAAUGCUCCAUAUGUUCUUAUAGCGAUCUACCAGCAACCAGGAGAAAUGGUGAAUGAGAACAACAUUUUCACCUAGAACCAGGUGCUACCUUUGCAGAUGGGAGCAGACCCACAAACCUCAAUAAAGUGCACAUUUGCGAUCCUGAUAUUUCCACAAGACAAGUACGUUUGGUGAGUAAGUGCGCCAUACCUUGUCUUUAAAUAGCUUGGUGGGUGGGGUGUGGAAACUUGUUGGGACAUCUUCAUUGCUUUGGUCCAGUUCUGAACAUCUUGGCCUCCUGAUGAGCUCCUGAACCAUGACCCUCUGAGCCCUGUGUCUGCUGCUGAGCAUUACUUGCCUGAAUAAAGGUAUCUUUCUUACUUGCAAGGAUUAACAUCUGCUUCCAAGUUUUAGGGUGGGAGUGACAGCAGGAAGCCUACAAGGCUUCUUUUCAGUUUUUUUUUUAUGCCACAGGAAGAAAACACACAACUUCAAGUAAUUGUGUAGUUUGGCCUUUGGGUGUACUUCUAUAAAAUGUAAUAUGCGGAGCAGGCCUGAUAUCAUUCAAAAUGUCUGCCUUGUUCUGUCUUUCCUGAAUAAAUGAAAGCUCAGGAUGUUGAGUCUAGCUUGAUGGCAGCAUUGUCCAUGACUUUUGGACUUCGGAUGUCAUGUCAUGUAUUUUUCAUGUUAUAAAUGGAAAAGGCCACAAAUAAAACAGGCCCCAGUGUCUCUCAUUAUGUAACUUCCCUUAGCUGCAGAUAGUACAUCUCUUUGUUAUACUUAAUUAUAGCUCUGAAUCAUAUUUUACACAACCCUGGAAAUGCCAUAGGGGCUUCUUUCACCGGCUCCUUUUAUAUACCUUCGGGUGUUUUCCCCCUCCCUUCUUCAUUUUUUUUUACAAGACAAAUGAAAUAUGCAUUGAAUGUGGGUGGCUUCAAACCUACUCUGCCUUGUUCUGUCAUAAGAGUCUUGGAGAAGCACACUGAUCUGUCCUUCGGCUCCAAGCCCUCCUUCCAUUCCCUUCCUUCCCUUACCAUUAUUAGAAACUCAGCACCAAGCUGUGGACAACUUCCCCCUCUCACAGGAGGAGCUAGCAGAACUUUCUUACCUGAGUGAGAUAUGCCUGAAUAGGAACUUCCCUCCACUCCACCCCACCCCACCCAGUAAGGCCACAGGGGUGGGGGAAAUAGUUCACUAGGUGCUCCUGAACAUAGCAAAGAAGCAGAUGCUUUGGGGAGGCUAGUGAGGGUAAAAAUGGAUUGGAAGACAUCGUAGUGGCUUAUGAAUUGUAGGGGAUGAAGCAGGGAUGUGAAAGUUCCACUCCUGAGAGGCAGGACCAUAUUUCAGUGGUAGAGCAUAUGCUUUGCUUAUAGAACAUGGGUGGAGAAUAGGGUGAUGAUGACUUUUUCAUUUUUCCCCCCUCAAAAAUUAUUUCCUGUAGCACAAAUGGAUGAACUUUUGCCUAGUAAUGACCAAAAUGAGGUAUAUUCCAUUGAAAUAUUAAAAAAGGUUAUGCACAAGCCGUUUCUAAUUUUUUUGUAUGCUGUUUUACCAUUUCAUAAAAUUGUAUUAACAAUUCUAUAUAUAUUUCGUAUCAAAUUUGGACACAACACCACAUUCCACAAUGGGGAGUGUUCUUAGCAACAUAGGGUAGACAAAUGUCACACCUGCACAAGGUAAAAGCCCCUUUUUGGGACCUCAAAACUCAGCCAGCAGACCCCAGCCGGGCAUGCUGGGAAAAGAACCUACAGGAGAGGUAGCAAAACAUCGUCCUCUAGCGGUGUCUAUACUGUUACUGCAGCUAAAAAAAGCUUCCUUGUGUCUUUGAUGAUCCUAUAUAAUGUUGUAUAUAUGUGACUCUAAAGCUUGGGUUCAAUUUUAUAUCUGCUUACAGUGACUUCAAAAAUGGUCAAAAAACUGAUAAAUAAAAUUUUGUGUGUGAGGUCUUUUUUUAAUCAAAUCUCUUUGAAAGUAAGAUUUUAUCUAAUCUUUAAUGAAAGCUCAUCCAAUUAUGAUACAGGGAAAUGAGGUUGUAAAAAAGUCAUCAUCCCUAUGACUUUUGGGCUCCAUGGGCCAGAUUCUUAUCAGAGCCCAUUUUGACAGGUGGGCAGGGCCAUCUGUCAAUCACCUGACAUCACAAUGGCAUCAGAUACACGAGGCACCUGAAAAGGGGGGCAAGAGAACAUAAGAAGAGCGCUGCUGGAUCAGGCCAGUGGCCCAUCUAGUCCAGCAUCCCGUUCUCACAGUGGCCAGCCAGAUGCCUGUGGGAAGUCCAUAAACCAUACAUGAGCACAAGAGUGCCCUCCUCUCCUGCAGCAAACUGGUGUCGUGGAAAAAAUAUAGCCUUGGAUAUCAGGAGGAGCAGAACAUGGUCUGUUGGAAUGUUCUGAUGCUGAUAAGCAAGUUGCGCAACCAUGCCCCAUUUCCUGCCAAUCUUUUUGCUGUGUAUGUGAUAAACAGACUGAGCAUGUUUUUGAUUGUAAAAAAAAAUUAUCACCAAUACAAAGUUGCCUUAUGUCUUUGUUCAUUGGACUCCACCCAAGUGGACUCCGCAACAGCCAGUGUUCUUUGCCAAAAGUCAUAGAAUCAUAGAAUUGUAGAGUUGGAAGGGACCCAAAGGGUUAACUCAUCCAACCCCCUACAAAGCAGGAAUCACAGCUAAAGAAUCCCUGACAGAUGGCCGUCCAACCUCUGUUUAGAAACCUCCAAUGAAGGAGAGCCUUCUACCUUCCAAGGCAGUCCGUUCCACCGUUGAACCAAUCUUCCUAUCAGAAAGUUCUUCCUAAGGCUUAGUCGGAAUUUCCUUUCUUGUCACAUCAAGGCUCUUACCGUGUUGUUCUCUGGGAUAGUGGAAGUUUCCACAACACUGGGAUUCAGAAGCAUACGGCCUCCAACAGUGGAGGAAGAAUGUGUGCAUCAGGGCUAGUAGGUGCUUCAUGAAUUGGUCCAAUCAUUUUUAUAGUCAUCCAAGUUGGCGCCUACUUGAGUUCCAUGGUGUGUGUGUGUGUGUGUGUGUGUGU